UACGCAGGGUGCGAGCGUUAAUCGGAAUUACUGGGCGUAAAGCGUGCGCAGGCGGUGAUGUAAGACAGUUGUGAAAUCCCCGGGCUCAACCUGGGAAUUGCAUCUGUGACUGCAUCGCUAGAGUAGGUAGAGGGGGGAUGGAAUUCCGGCGUGUAGCAGUGAAAUGCGUAGAUAUGCGGAGGAACACCGAUGGCGAAGGCAAUCCCCCUGGACCUGUACUG
rnacentral:rRNA from 1 species